UACGUAGGGACCAAGCGUUGUUCGGAAUUACUGGGCGUAAAGGGCGCGUAGGCGGCCUUCUAAGUCAGACGUGAAAUCCCCCGGCUUAACCUGGGAACUGCGUCUGAUACUGGGAGGCUUGAGUAUGGGAGAGGGAUGUAGAAUUCCAGGUGUAGCGGUGAAAUGCGUAGAUAUCUGGAGGAACACCGGUGGCGAAGGCGGCAUCCUGGACCGGUAUUGACGCUGAGGCGCGAAAGCUAGGGGAGCAAACGGG
rnacentral:rRNA from 1 species